AGGUUGAUAGGUAGGUAGAGCGGGGCGUCGACACGAGGUUUUUCUUUUCUUUUUAGAGCGGGGCGUGGGUUUGGUUUGGGAGUGGCCGGCCGCGCCUACCCUCGUGGGUCGCCGCCGCGAGAGCGGCUAGGAGUGAAACGUCAAGUGCGGAGUGUGUAGACUAACCGGCGAGCAAAGGAGGGGCCUCUACCGCUGCCCUAGGUACCUCCGCCGGGAGUACUCGCUAGGCUGGUAGUUCCAGGGGCUGCUGGAGGAACAGCUCCAGUAGAGGGCGCACGGCAUGUUCAGGUGGACGACGACGUUCACGCAGAGGUGCGCGACCGCCCUGGAGUAGAGGGUGGGGCUGGUGGCGCUGUUCGAAGGGGCCAGCUGGGAGCGGCCGAAGAAGGUGUGUUGGAGGCGGUGCCCGCUGGUAUUUAUAGAAAGAGUACCAAUGGAUUCGCAGAGUCCCUUGACCACGGGAGUACUGCGGAGGGAGAGCAAGGACGGGCUUAUGCUCUCGGAAGUUUAGAACCUACCGACGUUGCCGGAGGAGGAGACGGACUCCGGCCUUCAGCAGACAGGGUCUCUGUGACCUACUGGGGUCCUGCGACCUAAUGCACCACACGUUAGGCCGGUGUCUCUUUACCCAUUGGCACGGCCGGUGGUUCACCAGGACCAACCACUUGCCGCGAACGGAACCUAAACUGGGCCGGCAGAGGAGUGUAAAGAUACACAAGCUCAACCAUGGACGGGAACGAACCUGAACCAUAUUCUCCCUACUAAUAUCGUAACUUCGCCACCCCUAGAUGAGAAGGUUUCAACCUCAGACCUGUGUGGGUUAACAAAACCUGCUAGGUUAACUCUAUGAGAUGAAUAGUCCACCGCGCAAGAACUCGCCUCAUAACAUAAAUACAAGACUAUUAUUAAGUCAACGUCGGCAGCUGGACCUCCCUUGAACAUCCUAGUAAGGAUAAGGGUGAAGUGUACUACUAGGACCACCAGGAUUACAGAUACAUAGUGCCCCUGUUAACAUAGAGUGUUAAGUUCCACGAAGACUUGACAGAAAGACCCAAGAACUUCUAAGAUCAUCACUUUUAACAACCUGGGACUUCGAGUUAUAGUCGAUGAACGCUGACAAACCUUAUCUGAUAAGUUCGAGACCCGUUAUAAUGCCACAAUAGAGUCGAGUGGGUCUUGUGUUACACUAUAAGUAUUAGUUUCUUAAAUAUAGCUCUACGCCUAGUGACUUUUUUAAUAUAAGUAUACUUUACCUAAGACCCCUCGACGUAAAGUAUACACUAGAAGGUACCUUAAGGUCCAACGGAAUAGAAAGGAUACAAGGAAACAAGAGCCUCAGUAAUCGUCUGCCCGUGAUUUACACAACACAUAACCUCGGAGUGUGAACAGUUGGAAAGACUGCCAUGAUCUCAAUGUAAUUACCAUGUUCGUCCCUUCGUUCACUAAACCCGUCUCGAAGUACUUCAACACUAUUUCGCCAACCACGAACUGACGUGAGUACAUGACCUGAAUACCUCGAUCGAUCGAUAAAUCAUUUGAAUCAUGACACAAACACAAGUUCACCGGUAAAUAUCGUCGGUGCGUCCGCAUUGUGAGAUGAUGAAUUGAUACCUAUAAAAUGACAAAACAACCUUGAUAAUACUUAUAAAAUUAUAGAUGCAAGAAGAGAAACGAAUAAAGGGACAAAGACUUACAUAAUAGAGGUAUACUUGAAAUCAACAUGUACUUACCAACAAAAGAACAAGUAUUG
rnacentral:rRNA from 1 species